rnacentral:rRNA from 1 species
GAUGAACGCUGGCGGCGUGCCUAAUACAUGCAAGUCGAACGCGAGCACUUGUGCUCGAGUGGCGAACGGGUGAGUAAUACAUAAGUAACCUGCCCUAGACAGGGGGAUAACUAUUGGAAACGAUAGCUAAGACCGCAUAGGUACGGACACUGCAUGGUGACCGUAUUAAAAGUGCCUCAAAGCACUGGUAGAGGAUGGACUUAUGGCGCAUUAGCUGGUUGGCGGGGUAACGGCCCACCAAGGCGACGAUGCGUAGCCGACCUGAGAGGGUGACCGGCCACACUGGGACUGAGACACGGCCCAGACUCCUACGGGAGGCAGCAGUAGGGAAUUUUUCGGGCAAUGGGGGAAACCCUGACCGAGCAACGCCGCGUGAAGGAAGAAGGUUUUCGGAUUGGUAAACUUCUGUUAUAAAGGAAGAACGGCGGCUACAGGGAAAUGGGUAAGCCGAGUGACGGGUACUUUAUUAGAAAGCCAACGGGCUAACUACGUGCCAGCCGCCGCAGU